CGUAGGUGAACCUGCGGAAGGAUCAUUCAUAAUAAAGUGUUUUAUGGCACUUUUUAAAAAUCCAUACCCACCUUGUGUGCAAUGUUAGAUCUCGUCAAUCUUGGCGAGAUUUUUAUACAUCAACUCAUUCUUUAACUAAUUUGUCUGAAAAAUAUUAUGAAUACUUAAUUCAAAAUACAACUUUCAACAACGGAUCUCUUGGCUCUC
rnacentral:misc_RNA from 1 species